UGGGUAAUCUGCCCUCGAUUCUGGGAUAGCCCGGAACGGGAACGUAUACGACGA
rnacentral:rRNA from 1 species